rnacentral:rRNA from 1 species
UGAGGAAUAUUGGUCAAUGGGCGGGAGCCUGAACCAGCCAAGUCGCGUGAAGGAAGAAGGUACUUAGUAUUGUAAACUUCUUUUUGUUCGGGGAACAAAGGCGGAGACGCGUCUCCGGAUGAGUGUACCCGAAGAAAAAGCAUCGGCUAACUCCGUGCC